UUGACAACCUGCGUGGUACACGUCAGUGUGAAAUGGAAGGAUGGUGAACAACCGGCUAUGGCUGAACUGUUAGACUGCGAUAAGUGUUGUCAGAAUAGCUCAGAGAGAGUGAUGGAGCGACGGCGGACGAGGCUUGCCAAAGGGCUGAAAACGACAAGUCAGUAGAGUCGCCAUCGAAGGUUCAGAAGGUUACGUGCUCCCAGCGUGAAAGUUCGCCUGAAUGUAACUGCAAAUCAAAACAAAGGCUACAGGAGCUCAAGCCUAUGUGGACACACUGGUCGAGCGACUGAAAGUGGCUGAGAACAACUAUGGUUAUGUCUCCGGGAAGUUCGACACAACUGUGGUGCAGAUAAAAAAUAGCCUCUCAUCUAUGGUGUCGAGAGAAAUAAAAUAGUGUUCCAAGCAUCAUUCUUGAUCCCCGAGCAUGACUGUGGGCAGGAACGCGGUGAAACUGGACAAGCA